UACGUAGGGGGCAAGCGUUGUCCGGAAUUAUUGGGCGUAAAGAGCUCGUAGGCGGUCUGUUGCGUCCGCUGUGAAAACCCGGGGCUCAACCCCGGGCCUGCAGUCGAUACGGGCAGACUAGAGUGCGGUAGGGGAGACUGGAAUUCCUGGUGUAGCGGUGAAAUGCGCAGAUAUCAGGAGGAACACCGGUGGCGAAGGCGGGUCUCUGGGCCGUAACUGACGCUGAGGAGCGAAAGCGUGGGGAGCGAACAG
rnacentral:rRNA from 1 species